rnacentral:rRNA from 2 species
AUUGAACGCUGGCGGCAUGCCUUACACAUGCAAGUCGAACGGCAGCACGGGAGCUUGCUCCUGGUGGCGAGUGGCGAACGGGUGAGUAAAGUAUCGGAACAUGCCCUGAAGUGGGGGAUAACGUAGCGAAAGUUACGCUAAUACCGCAUAUUCUGUGAGCAGGAAAGCAGGGGAUCGCAAGACCUUGCGCUUUAGGAGUGGCCGAUAUCGGAUUAGCUAGUUGGUGAGGUAAAGGCUCACCAAGGCGACGAUCCGUAGCGGGUCUGAGAGGAUGAUCCGCCACACUGGGACUGAGACACGGCCCAGACUCCUACGGGAGGCAGCAGUGGGGAAUUUUGGACAAUGGGCGCAAGCCUGAUCCAGCCAUGCCGCGUGAGUGAAGAAGGCCUUCGGGUUGUAAAGCUCUUUCGGCGGGGAAGAAAUGGCGCUUUCUAAUACAGGGCGUUGAUGACGGUACCCGCAUAAGAAGCACCGGCUAACUACGUG